rnacentral:lncRNA from 1 species
UAUGAGUUAGAUGGCAAGGACCUUGAGGAGGUCUUUUGGCGAUUCAAAGCAGCUGCUGAGAAGAAAAGGGUGAACAAACUAGACUGUAGUAAUUAGAUUAUUAUUAAUUGAUUUGCAAAACACUUAUAUAUAUAUAUUAAGCACAGAAGAAGUAACUAAGCUAAUUAAGCUAAAACGGCAAAUUAAACCAAGACACAUUAACGUGGUGAAACCUCAAACUCGAGGAAACUCUAGUACUCUACAACCUUCAUGUUUCAGUUUACAUACAUAUGAAGAUCUGAAUAUGUAUUCUGCGACUCAUGUUCAUCCUAACAUAAAUAUUUGUCAUCUUUGUAGCAUCUUUCUGACGGAGAUAUAAAAGCAUUGAUUUCUCCAAUAGAUCAAAUUUACAAGUCAAAAACCAUUUGGUCUCUUGGUGAUCUGCAGGUAUAUUUUUGUGAUGCCAUGUUCUCUCACUAGCUAGUUUCUAUCCUAGUUUAUUUAUUAUGGUAAACCACUCUUGUUUAAUGGUAAAAUCAUUAUAUGUCUAAAAAAAAUCAAAGUCGAGACUUCUGGCUCAAGUAUAUAUGGUUCUUUGGCCUAUGGGAUAUGAUAUAAUCAUUAUGGUGUCACUUUUUCGCAGCAAGAACAUACACGCCUUGGAACUUGGAGAAAUUGUGACAAUGGAGACUACUAAGGUCUCAAGUGUGUUACAGCCUCGGGAUAUACCUCUUAGAAGACCUUCAUACGAUCUUGGAAAUGAAUGUUGAGUUUCCCAUUUGUUUGAAAAUAUAUCUAAACUAUUUAGAAAGAGAGGAGCUUAAGUCUACAGUAAAAUAAUAUUAUUUUUAUGGUGACGCGAGCUUAAGUCUACAGUAAAAUAAUAUUAUUUUUAUGUCACUGCGUCACCAGACAUAAAAGUU